GUGGACGCCAGUCUGCAUGGAGCCGGCCUUGAAAUACCACCCUUUAAUGUUUGAUGUUCUAACGUGGACCCGUAAUCCGGGUUGCGGACAGUGUCUGGUGGGUAGUUUGACUGGGGCGGUCUCCUCCUAAAGAGUAACGGAGGAGCACGAAGGUUGGCUAAUCCUGGUCGGACAUCAGGAGGUUAGUGCAAUGGCAUAAGCCAGCUUGACUGCGAGCGUGACGGCGCGAGCAGGUGCGAAAGCAGGUCAUAGUGAUCCGGUGGUUCUGAAUGGAAGGGCCAUCGCUCAACGGAUAAAAGGUACUCCGGGGAUAACAGGCUGAUACCGCCCAAGAGUUCAUAUCGACGGCGGUGUUUGGCACCUCGAUGUCGGCUCAUCACAUCCUGGGGCUGAAGUAGGUCCCAAGGGUAUGGCUGUUCGCCAUUUAAAGUGGUACGCGAGCUGGGUUUAGAACGUCGUGAGACAGUUCGGUCCCUAUCUGCCGUGGGCGCUGGAGAACUGAGGGGGGCUGCUCCUAGUACGAGAGGACCGGAGUGGACGCAUCACUGGUGUUCGGGUUGUCAUGCCAAUGGCACUGCCCGGUAGCUAAAUGCGGAAGA
rnacentral:rRNA from 1 species